GUUCUGGUGGCACAAUAGUUAAGCUCUUGGCUGCUAACCAAAAGAUUGGUGGUUCGAAUCCACCCAGUGGCU
rnacentral:tRNA from 1 species